rnacentral:rRNA from 1 species
CGUGUAGGCGGGACGGUAAGUCGGGCGUGAAAUCCCUGGGCUCAACCCAGGAACUGCACUCGAAACUACCAUUCUUGAGUGUCGGAGAGGAAAGCGGAAUUCCUGGUGUAGAGGUGAAAUUCGUAGAUAUCAGGAGGAACACCAGUGGCGAAGGCGGCUUUCUGGACGAUAACUGACGCUGAGACGCGAAAGCGUGGGGAGCAAACA